CUUUAUUAACCUCAACCCACACGCGGCUCCGACACGUACAUCCGGGUGCUCCGUCUUCAGCAGUAGCGAAGAAGGAGUUGAUGUAUGGGGACCGCGGCGGAAAAAC
rnacentral:sRNA from 1 species